ACCAUAGCUCAGUGGUAAAGCACUGGCUUUGUAUGCAAAAAGUCCCAGAUUCAAUCCCUGGUAUCACCA